UUUUCGGACCUAGCGGCGGACGGGUGAGUAAUGCGUAGGAAGCUGCCCGAUAGAGGGGGAUACCAGUUGGAAACGACUGUUAAUACCGCAUAAUGUCUACGGACCAAAGUGUGGGACCUUCGGGCCACAUGCUAUCGGAUGCGCCUACGUGGGAUUAGCUAGUUGGUGAGGUAAUGGCUCACCAAGGCGACGAUCUCUAGCUGGUUUGAGAGGAUGAUCAGCCACACUGGAACUGAGACACGGUCCAGACUCCUACGGGAGGCAGCAGUGGGGAAUAUUGGACAAUGGGCGCAAGCCUGAUCCAGCCAUGCCGCGUGUGUGAAGAAGGCCUUCGGGUUGUAAAGCACUUUCAGCGAGGAGGAAGGGUGGUGUGUUAAUAGCACAUCAUUUUGACGUUACUCGCAGAAGAAGCACCGGCUAACUCUGUGCCAGCAGCCGCGGUAAUACAGAGGGUGCAAGCGUUAAUCGGAAUUACUGGGCGUAAAGCGCACGUAGGCGGUUAGUUAAGUUGGAUGUGAAAGCCCCGGGCUCAACCUGGGAAUUGCAUUCAAAACUGGCUAACUAGAGUAUGUGAGAGGGGGGUAGAAUUCCAAGUGUAGCGGUGAAAUGCGUAGAGAUUUGGAGGAAUACCAGUGGCGAAGGCGGCCCCCUGGCACAAUACUGACGCUCAGGUGCGAAAGCGUGGGGAGCAAACAGGAUUAGAUACCCUGGUAGUCCACGCCGUAAACGAUGUCUACUAGCUGUUCGUGGUCUUGUACUGUGAGUAGCGCAGCUAACGCACUAAGUAGACCGCCUGGGGAGUACGGUCGCAAGAUUAAAACUCAAAUGAAUUGACGGGGGCCCGCACAAGCGGUGGAGCAUGUGGUUUAAUUCGACGCAACGCGAAGAACCUUACCUACUCUUGACAUCUA
rnacentral:rRNA from 1 species